UGGAGGUGGGACAUAUUAAUGUGUCAUGUUGUUACUACGUUUUUUUUUUCAAUUGCUAACAUGCAUUGGUCAAAUCUGAAGUUAGAUUGUCAAAACUCUUCACACAGUCAGCGAAACAGAAGUGUAUGUGGACCAAACUGUGAAUAAUUUUUCAUUGCUUUCACACAAAAUGCUUUCAAUGACCACAUUCUCUGAAAUCCAUGAACUCUUUUCUCAUUCAUACUCCACCACAUGCAAAACUAUAUAUUUGCAGCAUGUUUUCAAAUGCUGACACACUGUUUACAAAACUGUUAAAAACACAUUCAAAACAGAAUGAUGGCAAAUGUUGUGCAUUUCUGCAGUAACCAGAUUGAAACAUAUAGAAAAUCUCAGCAGAAAAUGUAAUUAUUCCAAACACAGCUGAUUGCAAUUUCAACUGAAAGCCUACCCAAGUGUCCUGUUUUUAGUCUCGUUACCAAACAGACAUAAGAGGACGGCUUCGGAAUGAUUUAGUUUGGAAACAUAGAUCAAGGAAGACAGGUUGGUGGGGAAAGAAGAGUGACAGGGAGCGAGAGGGAGAAUGCAUGGAGGACAAAGGAGAGGAAGACCAAGAGCGGUGGUCUCUGAUGAGAUAAGGGCCACAAUUAUUGACCAUGUUGUAAACCAUGUUCUCUCUUUGAGAGGGGCCGGUUUAAGGGUGUAUCCAAAUCUGCAGCGUUCAAUAGUUGCAUCAAUAGUACGAAUUUUCCGUUAAAACAAAAGGUGAGAUGUGCAUCCUUCAAUGAUAAUUGAACUAUUAUUGCAGUACAAUACAGUAUGUUCACAUUUUUACAUGUACUGACAUUUUGAAAUAUAUUUAUUGUUUUGUGUUUUUCAGUAGGAUCCAAAGGUUGCCUCCCACAGGAGGGAGAGGCAGAAUAGUAUCAGAUGCGAAAGAAAUUGCCAUUGUUGACGUGGUAAUUGGCAACAAUACAAUAAAACUGAGGGAAAUUCAGGACAGAGUGCUGGCAGACAAUAUCACUUUUGGGAAUGUGAAUACAGUCAGCACAACGAUAAUUGUCAGAGUCCUAGAGAAACUAAGGAUGAAGCAGUUAUACACUGUACCCUUUGAGAGAAACGGUAAAAGUGUGAAUGACCUCUGGUGUCAAUAUGUCCAGAGAGGAAUGGAGAUGGAAUCCAGGCAAGCUGCACAUACAUUCAUCUUUGUGGAUGAAGCUGGAUUCAACUUGGCAAAAACACGCCGCAGACAUGUGAUUGGACAGAGAGCAACCGUGGAUGUCCCAGGUCAGAGAGGAGCUAACAUCACAAUGUGUGCAGCACUGUCCAAUGAUGGUUUUCUGUUACACAAACCACUCAUUGGCCCCUACAAUACAGAGAGGCUCGUUUAUUUUCUGGAUGAGCUGCAUAAUCUACUUGUGCCAACGGAGGAGAGAGGAGCAAGAAACUCCCCUACCGUCGUUGUUGUGUGGGAUAAUGUGGCAUUCCAUCACGUUGCUGCACGUCCCAGGAUGUCAGUACUAUUCCUGCCUCCAUACUCCCCCUUCCUAAACCCUAUAGAGGAGUUUUUCUCUGCGUGGAGGUGGAAGGUGACCAUCAUCCAUAUGACCAGAUGUCCUUAACUGGAUGCGGGGUGUAGAUACGCUUCUCCUGAAGACUGCCAGGGUGUAGAGACACUUCUCCUGAAGACUGCCAGGGUGUAGAGACACUUCUCCUGAAGACUGCCAGGGUGUAGAGACACUUCUCCUGAAGAAUGCCAGGGUGUAGAGACACUUCUCCUGGAGACUGCCAGGGUGUAGAGACACUUCUCCUGAAGAAUGCCAGGGUGUAGAGACACUUCUCCUGGAGACUGCCAGGGUGUAGAGACACUUCUCCUGAAGAAUGCCAGGGUGUAGAGACACUUCUCCUGGAGACUGCCAGGGUGUAGAGACACUUCUCCUGAAGACUGCCAGGGUGUAGAGACACUUCUCCUGGAGACUGCCAGGGUGUAGAGACACUUCUCCUGAAGACUGCCAGGGUGUAGAGACACUUCUCCUGAAGACUGCCAGGGUGUAGAGACACUUCUCCUGGAGACUGCCAGGGUGUAGAGACACUUCUCCUGGAGACUGCCAGGGUGUAGAGACACUUACAUUUACAUUUAAGUCAUUUAGCAGACGCUCUUAUCCAGAGCGACUUACAAAUUGGUGCAUUCACCUUAUGACAUCCAGUGGAACAGGUUUAAACUUCUUUUCACAAGUAAAUUACUAAAUGCAAAGCUAUAAAAAAAUAAAGGCUAUUGAAGCAAAUUGCUGCAUUUGUGAUUCAUUCUGGUCACAUACAGUUGAAGUCGGAAGUUCACAUACACUUAGGUUGGAGUCAUUUAAACUCGUUUUUCAACCACUCCACAAAUUACUUGUUAACAAACUAUAGUUUUGGCAAGUCGGUUAGGACAUCUACUUUGUGCAUGACACAAUUUUUCCAACAAUUGUUUACAGACAGAUUAUUUAACUUAUAAUUCACUGUAUGACAUUUCCAGUGGCUCAGAAGUUUACAUACACUAAGUUGACUGUGGCUUUAAAACAGCUUGGAAAAUUCAAGAAAAUGAUGUCAUGGCUUUAGAAGCUUCUGAUAGGCUAUUUGACAUCGUUUGAGUCAAUUGGAGGUGUACCUGUGGAUUUAUUUCAAGGCCUACCUUCAAACUCACUGCCUCUUUGCUUGACAUCAUGGGGAAAUCAAAAUAAAUCAGCCAAGACCUCGGAAAAAAAUGGUAGACCACAAGUGUGGUUCAUCCUUGGGAGCAAUUUCCAAAUGCCUGAAGGUACCAUGUUCAUCUGUACAAACAAUAGUACGCAAGUAUAAACACCAUGGGACCACACAGCCAUCAUACCGCUCAGGAAGAUGCGUUCUGUCUCCUAGAGAUUAACGUACUUUGGUGCGAAAAUAGCAAAUCAAUCUCAGAUCAACAGCAAAGGACACUGUGAAGAUGCUGGAGGAAACAGGUACAAAAGUUUCUAUACCCACAGUAAAACGAGUCCUAUAUAUAUCAACAUAACCUGAAAUGCCGCUCAGCAAGGAAAAAGCCACUGCCCCAAAACCGCCAUACAAAAAGCCAAACUACGGGUUUGCAACUGCACAUGGGGACAAAGAUCGUACUUUUUGGAGAAAUGUCCUCUGGUCUGAUGAAACAAAAAUAGAACUGUUUGGCUAUAAUGAUCAUCAGCUUGCAAGCUGAAGAAAACCAUCCCAACCAUGAGGCACGGGGGUGGCAGCAUCAUGUUGUGGGGGUGCUUUGCUGCAGGAGGGACUGGUGCACUUCACAAAAUAGAUGGCAUCAUGAGGAGUAAAGUUAUGUGGGUAUAUUGAAGCAACAUCUCAAGACAUCAGUCGGGAAGUUAAAGCUUGGUCGCAAAUGGGUCUUCCAAAUGGACAAUGACCCCAAGCAUACUUCCAAAGUUGUGGCAAAAUGGCUUAAGGACAACAAAGUCAAGGUAUUGGAGUGGCCAUCACAAAGCCCUGACCUCAAUCCUAUUGAACAUUUGUGGGCAGAACUGAAAAAGCGUGUGCGAGCAAGGAGGCCUACAAACCUGACUCAGUUACACCAGCUCUGUCAGGAGGAAUGGGCCAAAAUUCACCCAACCUAUUGUGGGAAGCUUGUGGAAGGCUACCCAAAACGUUUGACCCAAGUUAAACAAUUUAAAGGCAAUGCUAUCAAAUACUAAUUGAGUGUAUGUAAACUUCUGACCCACUGGGAAUGUGAUGAAAGAAAUAAAAGUGAAAAUAAUUCAUUCUCUCUACUAUUAUUCUGACAUUUCACAUUCUUAAAAUAAAGUGGUGAUCCUAACUGACCUAAGACAGGGAAUUUUUACUAGGAUUAAAUGUCAGGAAUUGUGAAAAACUGAGUUUAAAUGUAUUUGGCUAAGGUGUAUGUAAAAUUCCAACUUCAACUGUGUACGUUAGUACAGUCAAUAAAUUAUUCUAAAAUUAAAUACUGAUUUAUGUAAAAAAUCAUUCAAACUUCAAAGAGAAAGUUAAUUGUUUAUGUAUUUGCUCCCUGUUGUUAAUGUUUUUUUUAGGUCAGUGUGUUAUGAGUGACAAUGUAUGCUUCCUGAGUGAGAAUUGUUGGAAGUGUAUGUCGAACAAGCUAAAUUUGGGACAUGAAUGAAGUGACUGAGUUUUGGAGGUGAGAUGAACUGUUUGGCCAAAAUAUAUGUUGGUAAUGUAGACCGUGUGAAGAGUUUUGAAAAAGUGACUUCAGUAUUGACCGAUGCUUGUUAGCAAUUGAAAAAAUCGGUAAUGUGCCAUGUGGCUGCUUUGUUGUUCUGCUACUGUACACACCUCCGAACGAGGCAGCAGUCUGCUGUUUUUCAUUUAUUAGCUCGCUUUCCAUCCAAUUAGCAAAAGAUUUUCACGUGAAUAUUCAAAUAUAUGCAUGAAGAAAACAUACUAAUUUUCACACCAGUGGUGUGUUCCCACCAAAUGUACAUGAUGCAGAUAAAAAUCAGAGCGUGAUGACGUAGUGCACACAAAAUGUACUUUUUGGUUGAAGUUUUCACAUACCGAAUAAAAAUCUAAAGUUCAA